rnacentral:rRNA from 1 species
UAAGGAAUAUUGGUCAAUGGACGCAAGUCUGAACCAGCCAUGCCGCGUGGAGGAUGAAGGUCCUCUGGAUUGUAAACUUCUUUUAUCUGGGACGAAACACUUCUUUUCUAAGAGGCCUGACGGUACCAGAUGAAUAAGCACCGGCUAACUCCGUGCCAGCAGCCGCGGUCAUACGUAGGGUGCAAGCAUUAUCCGGAGUGACUGGGCGUAAAGAGUUGCGUAGGCGGUUAGUAAAGCGAAUAGUGAAACCUGGUGGCUCAACCAUACAGACUAUUAUUCGAACUCACUAACUCGAGAGUGGUAGAGGUAACUGGAAUUUCUUGUGUAGGAGUGAAAUCCGUAGAUAUAAGAAGGAACACCAAUGGCGUAGGCAGGCUACUGGACCAUUUCUGACGCUAAGGCACGAAAGCGUGGGGAGCGAACC